AAUAGAUACCCCGGUAGUCCAUGCCGUAAACGUUGGGAACUAGAUGUAGGGACCAUUCCACGGUUUCUGUGUCGCAGCUAACGCAUUAAGUUCCCCGCCUGGGGAGUACGGCCGCAAGGCUAAAACUCAAAGGAAUUGACGGGGGCCCGCACAAGCGGCGGAGCAUGCGGAUUAAUUCGAUGCAACGCGAAGAACCUUACCAAGGCUUGACAUAUACGAGAACGGGCCAGAAAUGGUCAACUCUUUGGACACUCGUAAACAGGUGGUGCAUGGUUGUCGUCAGCUCGUGUCGUGAGAUGUUGGGUUAAGUCCCGCAACGAGCGCAACCCUCGUUCUUUGUUGCCAGCACGUUAUGGUGGGAACUCAAAGGAGACUGCCGGGGUCAACUCGGAGGAAGGUGGGGAUGACGUCAAAUCAUCAUGCCCCUUAUGUCUUGGGCUUCACGCAUGCUACAAUGGCCGGUACAAAGGGCUGCAAUCCGUAAGGUGGAGCGAAUCCCAAAAAGCCGGUCUCAGUUCGGAUUGAGGUCUGCAACUCGA
rnacentral:rRNA from 1 species